AUCUAGCUGAUGAGUUGCAAAUCGGAGGAAACGUGCGUUCUGGAU
rnacentral:hammerhead_ribozyme from 1 species